AAAGUACUCCCUCCGUUCGGAAUUACUUGUCUCGGAAAUGGAUGUAUCUAGAACUAAAAUACGUCUAGAUACAUCCAUUUUCGCGACAAGUAAUUCCGAACGGAGGGAGUACAAA
rnacentral:pre_miRNA from 1 species